rnacentral:rRNA from 1 species
CCUACGGGAGGCAGCAGUGGGGAAUAUUGGGCAAUGGAGGAAACUCUGACCCAGCGACGCCGCGUGCGGGAUGAAGGCCUUCGGGUUGUAAACCGCUUUCAGCAGGGAAUAAGCGCAAGUGAAGGUACCUGCAGAAGAAGCACCGGCUAACUAUGUGCCAGCAGCCGCGGUAAUACAUAGGGUGCAAGCGUUGUCCGGAAUUAUUGGGCGUAAAGAGCUCGUAGGUGGUUUGUUACGUCGGUUGUGAAAUUCAGGGGCUCAACCCCUGACUUGCAGCCGAUACGGGCAAGCUAGAGUUUGGUAGGGGAGACUGGAAUUCCUGGUGUAGCGGUGGAAUGCGCAGAUAUCAGGAGGAACACCGAUGGCGAAGGCAGGUCUCUGGGCCAAUACUGACACUGAGGAGCGAAAGCGUGGGGAGCGAACAGGAUUAGAUACCCUGGUAGUCCACGCCGUAAACGGUGGGCGCUAGUUGUGCGAACCUUCCACGGUUUGUGCGACGCAGCUAACGCAUUAAGCGCCCCGCCUGGGGAGUACGAUCGCAAGAUUAAAACUCAAAUGAAUUGACGG